AGUGGGAUAGCUGGGUCAAUUGGUUCCAUUCCAAGUUUUCUGAGGAGCCUCCAUACUACUUUCCAUAAUGGUUGCACAGGUUUGCAGUCCCACCAGCAAU
rnacentral:pre_miRNA from 1 species